rnacentral:tRNA from 1 species
UGGAAUAUAGCACAAAUAGAUAGUGCACUAGAUUUUUACUCUAGAGAUGUGGGUGCAGCUCCCGCUAUUCCUC